GACGAACGCUGGCGGCGUGCCUAAUACAUGCAAGUCGAACGCAGUGGGGACGGGUGAGUAACACGUGGGUAACCUCCCAUCAGAGGGGAUAACACUUGGAAACAGGUGCUAAACCGAUACUGAUGGAUGGACCCGCGGUGCAUUAGCUGGUUGGUGAGGUAACGGCUCACCAAGGCAACGAUGCAUAGCUGACCUGAGAGGGUGAUCGGCCACACUGGGACUGAGACACGGCCCAGACUCCUACGGGAGGCAGCAGUAGGGAAUAUUCCGCAAUGGGCGCAAGCCUGACCGAGCCACGCCGCGUGAGUGAAGAAGGUCUUCGGAUCGUAAAACUCUGUCAUUAGGGAAGCGGUAUCCACACAGAAAGCCCCGGCUAACUACGUGCCAGCAGCCGCGGUAAUAC
rnacentral:rRNA from 1 species